GAGGAAUAAGCAUCGGCUAACUCCGUGCCAGCAGCCGCGGUAAUACGGGGGAUGCAAGCGUUAUCCGGAAUCAUUGGGCGUAAAGCGCCUGUAGGUUGUUUAAUAAGUCUGUUGUUAAAGACUGGGGCUUAACCCCAGGAAAGCAAUGGAAACUACUAGACUAGAGUAUGGUAGGGGUAAAGGGAAUUUCUAGUGUAGCGGUGAAAUGCGUAGAUAUUAGAAAGAACACCGGUGGCGAAAGCGCUUUACUGGACCAUUACUGACACUCAGAGGCGAAAGCUAGGGUAGCCAAAGGGAUUAGAUACCCCUGUAGUCCUAGCCGUAAACGAUGGAUACUAGAUGUUGCGCUUAUUGUGCAGUGUCGUAGCUAACGCGUUAAGUAUCCCGCCUGGGGAGUACGAUCGCAAGGUUGAAACUCAAAGGAAUUGACGGGGGCCCGCACAAGCGGUGGAGCAUGUGGUUUAAUUCGAUGCAACGCGAAGAACCUUACCAGGGCCUGACAUACUGCAAAUUUUCUUGAAAGAGAAAAGUGCCUUCGGGAAUGCAGAUACAGGUGGUGCAUGGCUGUCGUCAGCUCGUGUCGUGAGAUGUUGGGUUAAGUCCCGCAACGAGCGCAACCCUCGUUUUUAGUUGCCAUUUUAUGGGUUCUCUAGAAAGACUGCCGGUGACAAACCGGAGGAAGGUGGGGAUGACGUCAAGUCAGCAUGCCCCUUAUGCCCUGGGCUACACACGUGCUACAAUGGCUAAGACAAAGAGUCGCGAAUUCGCGAGAAUCAGCUAAUCUCAUAAACUUAGUCUAAGUUCAGAUUGUAGGCUGCAACUCGCCUACAUGAAG
rnacentral:rRNA from 1 species